CCGAAACAAACAAAAUAAUGCGCGGGAGCGUUUUGGUUUGACUGCACGCGCUCCUCACGCGCUCCUCUCGCACUUCGCACGCGCUCCAAUACGCCCUGAUAAGAAGAGCGGCCAUUUUGAUGAAGAGAAGGAAACUUCCAUCUUUAUUCAUGGAGGUGAAAAUGGGACUUCUGUCUGAGAGAAAACUCCGUCUAAAACUUAAUUUAACCCUAAAGCUAACGAUUUCUGUCUGAGUGAGAAACUAUUUCUUCCCUUUAAUCCGGUUCCUUAAAGGAUCAUCCAUUCAUCUGGUGAAUGUGGAUUCGGAGCCUGGGAAUACCGGGAGCGAGGCGGGAAUACAACCUGGAUGGGACACCGGUCUAAUCAAACAUCACACACAUUCACACACUCAUUCGCACCUAGGGUUUCUGGAUUUGCAUAAUUAUUCAAACGGACCUCACUUGCUCAAAAUGCGAUAGCCCGGUUGUGAUCAUGAUUCCAAAAAAGAUAUCCGGAUACACAGUGUGGAGCAGAGAUCCGAGUCUUAUCAGUCCAACAACUGCUGUUCUUCUGUCCGGACACCAGUUUGGAAGCAGAGCGUGGAGGAGGAGGAGGAGGAGGAGGAGGAGGGAUUCAGAAUGAAAAAGUGCUUUGCCAGGAAUCUCAUGACAGAUCAGCUGUCCCAAAUUUCAAUCUGAGGAUGUGACAGACAAACACAGCGGCCCCGGCAGCGUCGACUUCGAGCAGAAAUUAAUGGAGUGGGGUGUUUUUUUUUUUUUGUUUUUUUUUUAAGGGGGGGGGGGGGUCUGGAUGGGUGGAUGGAUGGAUGGAGAGAUAUACAGAGAACUGGAAGGGGGAGUGAGGAGGAGGAGGAGGUGGCAGGGGAGAAAAAAUAUGAAUGCAACAGAUGGUAGUUUAAAAUUCAGCGUCAAUUGUUCAUCAAAACAGACAAAACAACGGGACAUCUGUCUACCUGCUGGAGUGUCAAUGUUCCUGGGUGCGUCUUUGUCCUGAGCAGUUGCCAGGUCCUCCUCCUGGUCCUCCUCCUCCUCCUCAUCCUCCUCCUCCUCCUCUUCACUGGGACUGUAGUGGCGCGGUUUCAUCAGCAGAGACUUCCUCUUGUUAACCGGCGUGCCACGGGCACCUUCGGCCGCGCUCCUCUUCCUCGUCGCAGAGAGGUGCAGGCUGCAAAACAAGACGAUCCACACUGAGAAAGACAGAAAACGUGUCAACCAGCUCAAGCAUUUCUCGCGUCCGGAUUUAGGACCCGGGAAAUUAUUCGCUUCCUGUUGAAUCCGCAAGGAAGAACCGAUUUUAAAAAAAACAACAACCAUAAGCUGAAAAUACAUUUGUAAAUGCCUUGAGUCAUCCAGUUCUAAUCUAUAAACCAAACACCUUUCAUCCAAAAUCUAAAAAUAAAAAUAAAUCUUAAUCUUUAUUUAUAGCUGUGAUGACAGGAACUAAUUAAACGGAUAAAAAGGUAUGACGUGGCAUUUGUUAAUAAAUAAACGUUAGGAGGAAUGAAACACUUUGGGACGUAGUGUUGUAGGAAACUAACCAAUCACCAAGAACCAAACAAAAUGAAUGAAAUAAAAUCAAGCGAUAGCAGCCGUAACCAUCGGUGCGAUCUCUCCGUCGUAAUAAUUAAAUUCCGUACUAAUUGCGUAAACUGAGAGAAGACCAGCCAUGAGAAAAUGGCAUGCACGUGGCACUUUACAAGCGCUUUAGGGGAGCAAAGUAGGGGAAGCUGGG